ensembl:lncRNA
CAGUAUUCCUGUGAGGUAUGUUCUGUGGGCAGUAUUCCUGUGAGGUAUGUUCUAUGGGCAGUAUUGCUUGGAGGUAUGUUCUGUGGGCAGUAUUCCUGUGAGGUAUGUUCUGUGGGCAGUAUUGCUGUGAGGUAUGUUCUGUGGGCAGUAUUCCUGUGAGGUAUGUUCUGUGGGCAGUAUUGCUGUGAGGUAUGUUCUGUGGGCAGUAUUCCUGUGAGGUAUGUUCUGUGGGCAGUAUUGCUGUGAGGUAUCUUCUGUGGGCAGUAUUGCUGUGAGGUAUGUUCUGUGGGCAGUAUUCCUGUGAGGUAUGUUCUGUGGGCAGUAUUCAUGUGAGGUAUCUUCUGUGGGCAGUAUUCCUGUGAGGUAUCUUCUGUGGGCAGUAUUCCUGUGAGGUAUCUUCUGUGGGCAGUAUUCCUGUGAGGUAUGUGUGCAUCUCUCAACAUGUGCACAGACCUUUAUCAAGAUGGGCGCCAUGCUGGCUUUUUCUGCAUCCGAAUCUCUCUCUUUCACUCCAUCUUUCUCAC